CAUGUCUAAUUUAGAAACAUUCAUACGCCUCAGUAUUAUUCAUUUUCCCUGUUUUCAUCAAUUGAGAGGUGUGUGGGGUGAGAACAAAUGGUUUGAUAAUAUUUGCAGGAACGAUUCAAAUUAGUUCAUGGCAUAUAAUUUCAACCGUUAUUUCCGCUUGUCACAAAUCACCCUGUUAUUUACCAACGUUUUCAAGAUGGCAAUAGAGAUCGACGCAAUGCCUUCUAGUUUAGCCAUGUACCAUAGUGUAAACAACAAUGGUGAUUUAGGCCACCAGAUGUAUGAGGAGGACGAGGAUGAAAAUCUUGUAGCGACGAUAAACGAUAAUGACGAUUUUAAGACCGACAUCUAUAUCAUUUAUGAGGAUGAUUCGAAUACCCCCGACGUCUUCGACACACCAGAAAUUGAACGCGAAAAAACAAAUCUGAACCAAAUGCCCUGUAAUUCAAAGUUUAGGCACACUUCGUCAAAUUGCCAGACAAUACCAAACCAGUCCAUUGGAGACAAUGACAAUGGUAAUAGUAGUGGUAAUGACAAUGAAGAUGUGUGGCUAACGAAGGCCGAGGAAGAAGAAUUAAUAA